AAAGAAUUGCUCCCUAAAGGCUUGUUACAAAUAAUAUUUUGAAGAUUUUAAUUGUCCAUGAAAUUGUUGUAUAAAGAAUAGUAAAGACAUCUAUUACAGACAAACAAUUAAACACUCUAUUAGACCAAUACAGUAUAUAGUGAAGAGAAACUUAAGUUAUCAUGAUUAUAGAAUAUAAGAAAGAAUAAAAAACUUUGAAACUUACAUAAGUUUCGAAACCUGAAUGUUUAGAGGAUAUAACUCAAUCUCUAAAAUAAAUUAACUUACUGUACAAGUAAUCAAAAACACUUGUAUAGUAUGAUAUAAGUAUUACCCCUAAAUGACCAGUUAAAGUUUAUA
rnacentral:lncRNA from 1 species